CCCUGGCCUCGCUGCCGCCGUACAGCCCAUCUGGCCCCAAGCCCGCCCCAGCUGGGCCGCCCGACGCCCCGGUCGCCGGGGGCCCUUACAGCCCCGCAGAGGUCUGAGACUAGGGCAGAAGCGCCAGGCGUCAGGCGUCUAUCCAUGCCAGCACCUGGGCUAGCGGCUGUGUUCAUCCUGAUGGGGCAGAAGCCGCCCUAAGAAGGACCAUCCAGGAUGUGCCACACAAACCCCAUCCCCGUCCCUGCCGCUGCCCCCCCGCCCCCCGCAGAGGCACCCAAUACAGCAGCAGGCGGCAUCUCAGGAUCAGAGGUCAGCUUUCUGGAGCCAGCCACUGUGGUUGCAGAUCCCCAGAGAUCAUUCUAGAUGCCAUAUAUGCAGUGACUUGGAGGAUCCGGUGGUCUUUUUGGGAGAUGCUGAAGCCUGAACCCGAAUGAGGGAGAUGCAAGGUUCUGGACAAGUGGGAAUGACAGGGCCUGCUGCAAGGACCUGAGCAGGUUGGGAAGGCUUCGAUGAAGUAAGUCAGGAAGGGCCUGAGCAUCUUCUGCAAGGAAACCAUUCAGCCCGAGAGAGAGGGACAACCUGAAGUCAGCCCCCACCCCACUCCAUCAAGGGGGUUAAGGGUUCUGCCUGAGUGCAAGGUGGGGAGCAUGUGGGUGUAGGUGGAGCAGACCCCGGAGACCCAGGUCCAAGAGACCCCACCAUGGGGGACUCUCCAGCCUGAGAGCUCCCAUAAUCUCCUCCAGACCCCUAGGGCUUCCCCAAGUAAACAUGCAGCUUUCGGGGCUUGGGGGGGGGGGCACCGAGUGCUCCUUGGCUUCAAAACAAGUUCUUCCACCACCCCUGGUUCGGUUCCAACCCCCUUUUAACCAGUGGGCCCACAAGAUGGGGAAAUUCCAGCAGGCUCUCCUGGUGCCAGGUCACUGCCUUCCCAAGGCCCCAUUGUGGUCUCAUCUGAACAAUUUGGAGUAAAGAGCAGGGGGUAGUUCCUUCCUUCUAGAACAGGUAGCCCAGGGUUCUCAAGGGUAAGAUGACAGUGGGUAACUCAAGUGCUAU